UACAGAGGGUGCUAGCGUUAAUCGGAUUUACUGGGCGUAAAGCGUGCGCAGGCGGUUCUCCAAGUCCGUUGUGAAAGCCCCGGGCUCAACCUGGGAAUGGCAGUGGAAACCAGGGGACUGGAAUCUGGCAGAGGGGGGUGGAAUGCCGCGUGUAGCAGUGAAAUGCGUAGAGAUGCGGCGGAACACCGAUGGCGAAGGCAGCCCCCUGGGCUGAGAUUGACGCUCAGGCACGAAAGCGUGGGGAGCAAACAGG
rnacentral:rRNA from 1 species